UCUGGUGACAAUGGCAAGGAGGUCACACCUGUUCCCAUGUCGAACACAGAAGUUAAGCUCCUUAGCGCCGAUGGUAGUCGGACUAACGUUCCGCUAGAGUAGGACGUUGCCAGGC
rnacentral:rRNA from 1 species